rnacentral:lncRNA from 1 species
ACAGCGUUGCGGUCAGGACAGAGCAAAAAAAACAAGACAUCAGUAUUGCAGAGUAUUUGCUAGUACCUGGUUCCCAAGCUAAGAUCUCUCAUUGAAAUUGGAGCUCACCCGUUCCACUAGACUGUCUGGUCAGCAAGCAAUCACCAGGAAUCGCCUGUAUCCGUAUCUGCCUGCCGGGACACUCACCGCCCCCUUGAAUUAUUUAUUUAUUUAUUUAUUUAUUUAUUUAUUUAUACAUGAGCUGUUGGGAAUAUAACUCAGAUCCUCACGCCCACACACCAAGCAUGUGCCUAACUGGCCCAGCUCUUGGUGUUCGAGAGCCUUCUCCCUUCUCCAGAAAGAGGAGUGGAACAGGCACACGUGAAUUCACUCUGUUGAGCCUGGAAGAGGAGAAAGGCUGCCCAUUUUCUAGAACGUUCCUCAUGAGCUGUGUGCAUGUACCAAGAAGACUCACUUGGACCCCAGAGCUGGGGCUGACCUAACUGAGAUGUUACCCAGGGGUGUCCUCACUGUGGCCACCGUGGCUCCACAGAGUACCCACUUAUAACAAAAAUAAAAAUGUUCUACAA